rnacentral:rRNA from 1 species
AAAAAAUCGUAACAAGGUUUCUGUAGGUGAACCUGCAGAAGGAUCAUUAGUGAAGAUUUGGGCAGGCCAUACGGACGCCAAAAAGUGUCCCUGGCCGCCUACACCCACUAUACAUCCACAAACCCGUGUGCACUGUCUUGGAGAAAGGCUUCAGAGAAGUUUUUUGUGGCCUCUCUUGGGGUCUUUCUUCGCUACAAACUCGAAUGGUUAGUAUGAACGUGGAACUUGGUUGGACCGUCACUGGCCAACAAACUAUACACAACUUUCGACAACGGAUCUCUUGGUUCUCCCAUCGAUGAAGAACGCAGCGAAACGCGAUAGGUAAUGUGAAUUGCAGAAUUCCGUGAAUCAUCGAAUCUUUGAACGCACCUUGCGCUCUAUGGCAAUCCGUAGAGCAUGCCUGUUUGAGUGCCAUGAAAUCUCCCACCCCAAGCGGUUUUUAAAUGAAACGGCUUGGCGGAUGGGGUCUGGAUGGGUGCCUCUGCCUGCGCUACCUAGCACAGGCUCGCCCGAAAUGCAUGAGCGCCUUGAGACACUUUGCAUCCGCCUCUCUGUUUGGGAGGAGGCGGCCAAGCAGUGUUUUUCUCCUGGCAUGGCAUGAUACGUCAUUUGCUAUGUCGCCUAAAGGAGGAAUGUUUGGUUGUGUCUGCGUGUGCUUCGAACUUGCCUCUGUGGCACAUCCCAAUUUCACUUCUGGUCUCAAAUCAG